UACGGAGGGUGCGAGCGUUAAUCGGAUUUAUUGGGCGUAAAGCGCGCGUAGGCGGCCUUUUAAGUCGGAUGUGAAAGCCCUCGGCUCAACUGGGGAAGUGCACCCGAAACUGAAAGGCUUGAGUACUGAAGAGGGUCGCGGAAUUCCCAGUGUAGAGGUGAAAUUCGUAGAUAUUGGGAGGAACACCAGCGGCGAAGGCGGCGACCUGGUCAGAUACUGACGCUGAGGCGCGAAAGCGUGGGGAGCAAACAGG
rnacentral:rRNA from 1 species